UCGAGAAUCUUCCGCAAUGGACGCAAGUCUGACGGAGCGACGCCGCGUGCGGGAUGAAGGCCUUCGGGUUGUAAACCGCUGUCAGUGGGGAGGAAAUGCAUGGGGGUUCUCCCUCAUGUUUGACCGAUCCGCAGAGGAAGCGCAGGCUAAGUUCGUGCCAGCAGCCGCGGUAACACGAACUGCGCAAACGUUAUUCGGAAUCACUGGGCUUAAAGAGUCCGUAGGCGGCUUUGUAGGUGAGGUGUGAAAUCCCACGGCUCAACCGUGGAAUUGCGCUUCAAACCACAUCGCUAGAGGGAGAUAGAGGAGAGCGGAACUCACGGUGGAGCGGUGAAAUGCGUUGAUAUCGUGAGGAACACCGGUGGCGAAAGCGGCUCUCUGGGUCUCUUCUGACGCUGAGGGACGAAAGCUAGGGGAGCGAACGGGAUUAGAUACCCCCGUAGUCC
rnacentral:rRNA from 1 species